rnacentral:rRNA from 1 species
GACGAACGCUGGCGGCGUGCCUAACACAUGCAAGUCGAACGGUGAAGCGCCUUCCUUUUUGGUGGGUGUGGAUGAGUGGCGAACGGGUGAGUAACACGUGAGUAACCUGCCCCCUUCUUCUGGAUAACCGCAUGAAAGUGUGGCUAAUACGGGAUAUUCUGUGUCUGUCGCAUGAUGGGUCUGUGAAAGAUAGUGUGUCGGUGGGGGAUGGGCUCGCGGCCUAUCAGCUUGUUGGUGGGGUGAUGGCCUACCAAGGCGGUGACGGGUAGCCGGCCUGAGAGGGUGAACGGUCACACUGGGACUGAGACACGGCCCAGACUCCUACGGGAGGCAGCAGUGGGGAAUAUUGCACAAUGGGAGCAAGCCUGAUGCAGCGACGCCGCGUGAGGGAUGGACGCCUUCGGGUUGUGAACCUCUUUCGCCAGUGAAGCAGGCCUGCCUCGUUUGUGGGUGGGUUGACGGUAGCUGGAUAAGAAGCGCCGGCUAACUACGUG